AACAAGUUAGUCGGAAGGUUAAUAGGCAUUUAUGAACUUUACCGAACAACGCGAUUUCUCAGAUGGGAGUGAGGGAAAAGUGUCGCUUCAGAAUUGUACACACUAAUGCUCAUGCUGAACACCGAAUUUUGUUUACGUACAAAUUUGGACCUCCUAUAUGGAGGCGUGAUCUUGUUCGCUUCCUCAUUGUCAGUCUGCCGGACGAGGAGUUCAACAGAAGGAGACGGUAACAGGAUACAAGCAGGAUGCGGAGCUACGUGGAUAACCCUCUUACUCUGCACGACAGGACAUUGGAACAACGACACUUUACGCUGGUGGCAGCGAGGCGUUUUUAGUCUUGGGUUACAGCAUUGUGGGAUUUUGUUACCGGAACCGGAUAUCAUCUUCCUUCAUUGUACUGUAUAUACUAUGCUACCACUGGUUGAGUGCCAAUGUGGAAGGAGGCUUUAAAUGGACGUUGUUGCAGCCUUUCGAGGCUUCUUAUUCAGUAUUAUCUACCAAAGGUAAGACUGGAAGAACACUGAGAAGAAGGUGACUCGUCUUACCCCCACCGUCAGAUGUAAUACUGCCCUCAGCGCGGACCUUAGACUGGCAGGAAGUCUUGAGCUUGAACUGAAAUGAUCACACAAUCAGCGCGUAACGAGAUCUUUCAGACUGGGCUUACGACACGAAAGUGGGCGAGGAGAAGUAACGAGUGACAAGUGGAUAAUAGGGAUUUUGAUUUCCGAGCUAGAUCAGUCAGCUUCAGUUUUACUCACGCAUGCUUCCAGCUGGUGAUCAGACACUGACCUUAUGCUAUGGCGUCGCGAAAUCUCUUUUUAGGCUUCAUACGGUUUGUUGGGGCAGCUCGUCAUUCGGAUAUAGGGUACGAAGGUGGGCGAAUCGGGUCAAUCGCAUGGAAGUGUGCUCGAUAGAGUGUUCCACGAAAAAAUAAUUUGCAAAUUUCUAACGUGGCAUCCUCUAAAAAGUUUUUUUGGGUUGAAAGAAAGAUUUACUCCGAAGUUGAGCGUUCUAUGUUACGUCACUUUUUCUAAGAAAAGUCAAAAAUCGAAUGAGCGCCAUCUUAAACCUAACGUACAACGCUCAUUUUCCGAGAGCAUCCUUCUUUCAUUCCGAAUAUACUUUCCAGAGGGUGCCACGAUGGAAAUGGAAAGUCUCGUGGGUCCUAAUUUGUUAAUAUUAAUACAGCUUGACACGUUAAACUUUUUCCAAUUCAGGAAGAUGUGACAAUAUUUACAAUUCGAUAUUUACCGAGAUUAGAUUAAUGUGGAUAAUGAUGGCAAAUGUGUACUUAGUACAAUUGUUAAGAAAGUUAAUAAGCUGAAGCUACGCACAUGUGAACCAGACCCGUGAUUUCUUACCUUGUUCAUUUGUCAUUAAAAAAAAAAUUUUCUCCAUUCUCAGACGCGAAUGAGCCGUGCUUUCGCGUUGGAGAUAACAGCACGUGGCAAGGAUCCGAAUACGUACAUUUUUAGACAUUCAUCCCGAAUAAAACCAAUUCCUACAUAAGAAGAAGCACAUUCUUUUUAUACAUUUUUGAAAAUAACUCAACCUUCGUAAGAGGUAAGCAGUGCUUUUCUUCGUUGGUCGAGAAUCGGGCCGGUACCGGUAGCGAAUGCAUCGAUUAGCUUUUGAUUUUCGUUGAUCAUCAAAUACGAUUUUUAUCUGAAAAACAAUACUAGCAUCGUGAUGGCUUGCAAUAUUGGCAGAGUGAUGGUUAAAAAUAUUAGUCAAUUGAGGGUUGGCAGCACUGGCCUAGCUGGUUACCGAUAGGUCAUAUUGGCCCAGUGCUGAUCAACGAUACUGAUCCAGAUCUAGACGUCAAGCGUUGGAUCUACAGUAUCAUUCUAGAUGAUCACCAGCACUGAUCCAGCACUGGGACUGAGCCACUGUUCGUAACAUUGGCAGCGGUAGCAGCGUUGUCAGCCUAUCAGACAAACAUUUCUUUAAAUGACGCCAAAAUACUUCUUCUCACUGAUGUUUGACGGUAUUAAAAAUCAAUAAAUACAGGAAUACAUAAUAUGUUUCAUUUUUUCGCUUUAUAACAUGCAUGAUUUUCCUAGAAAUAUACAAUGAUAAUUACCAAACGAGGUAACAUACACAGAUCCAUAUUCUACAAUCUGAAUUGUAAGCAUAAAGAUAUUAGGAACUUUUACGCACAUAAUAUAUUUUUUUUUUAAUAUUUAGGACCACCAGCUUGUCAAAUAAGUGCGUUUGGUUUUAAUUUAUUGUUCCGAUUUUACGGACUAUAUUUAGAGAUUUCGCUAUCUGUUUUGAGAUUUCGUCAGAGACCUUCAAACUUUCUUCACAUUCCGGUUUAAACGACAGUAUUUCUUAUUAAAUAAACAAUUUUUCUUUUUAUUCUGAACGGACUGUAAUUAUUCUAGAUCUAAAGAAAUUUCUUGAGGGUUGGCAACGCUGAGCAGUAGUGGCGAUGUAUACCGAGCCCGUGGUAAAACUUUUCACAAGCGGUAUCACGGAGAUUAGAUAUAAGGAGAACGAUCGUAAUGUUCUGGAAACGGUAGACAAUUUGAGAAAAGUUCAUAGUUCUCACAAUGUGCACUAGAAUAGCGUUGCUAAGGUCUGGUUUUUCAAAUUUACGAGGGGAAUGUCGUGAUCACGUGAUACAAGCAAUAACAAGCGCACGUCUCGAACCUAUGAUCUUUUCCCUCUGUUCUGGCCGCAAGUCAAGCCAAACAGCCUACGUCGAUUGUUGUCCUUAUAUAUUAGGCUCCGUGGUUGGUAGCGACACUGGACAGGGGCAUAACUAGGCAUUUAAGGGUUCCAGGGCAAGGACGCAAAUUGAGCCCCCUGGGUAAAUAAUGAAACAUAUUCCAGUGGAGCCUCCCCUCUCACGCUUCAGAAAUUUAUUCCCAAUAAAACAGUAAGAUGCUCAAUUUAUGUAUUCUAUUCACUGUAAACUAGAAUUACGAUUUUUCCAAAGAAGAUAUUUUACAUUUUUGACUAUAUAGUCGAGAUAACUAUUAAUACAGUUACAAUAUUAAGUUGAAACAAGCAUUCGAAAUGGAAAAUAUCAGAACCACAAUCUUAUACCUUUCAUUAGGGUGGUCCUCAUUGAGGGUGUUGACGUUUUUUUUUCAGGCCGCCCCCCAAAUAAACGUUAAAUAAUUCAAAACAAUUCCCUAAUUUUUUCACAUUUUUAUCUCAAUUCUAACCCGUUCCUCUGUAUGACUAUAGGUUUUCUCUGUUACGUCCCAGCCGAUAAUUAUGGCGUGACCUUAACUUCUCUGUACCUUAACUUACCGACGUGCAAUUACCAUAAGAGAGCUUCACAUGCUCAUACCACAGACUUAAGAUCCAUAUCGAUUUAGAUACAGUUACUAUAUUUGCAUACAACAUACCAUUCGUUAUUUUGCAAUCAAGCUUACAUUCGUGUAACGCUAUGCAGUAUAUAUAUAAUAAUUAUCAUUUCUUAACUUUGCAUCUUCAAUUUCAACUUACACAUACAGACCGCAUGGUCAACAAUCGAAAUUGAUGGAACUCAAAUUCAUAAACCUCACUGACCGAAUUCAAGGAACGUGAGAAAAGAAUAGAUAAGUAGUUCACAAAGUAUCAUUCUCAGAACUCAAAAAUGCAUUCUUGCAACUAACUAUCUUGUCAGCACAGUACCAAUUGCCCUCUUCAAGACCAACCGUGUUGCACUGACGUAGCAAGAGACCAAACAGAAGUCUUUCCAAGACUCCCACCUUUCAAACCAAACUGAUACAGUACAGAAUCAUGAAUAUAACAAAUUAAGACUUCAGACCAUUCAGAACUAAUUCAAGCUUCAGACCACAAGGAACCAAUCCUGACUUCAGACAAUUCAGAAUUCUUCGAAAUCAAGAACAGAUCAUUCUAAAUCGAUGUGUGCUUAUAUUCAGAACCUCCGAACUUUA
rnacentral:lncRNA from 1 species